CAUGGUUAAGUGGGAAACGAUGUGGGAAGGCCCAGACAGCCAGGAUGUUGGCUUAGAAGCAGCCAUCAUUUAAAGAAAGCGUAAUAGCUCACUGGUCGAGUCGGCCUGCGCGGAAGAUGUAACGGGGCUAAACCAUGCACCGAAGCUGCGGCAGCGACGCUUAUGCGUUGUUGGGUAGGGGAGCGUUCUGUAAGCCUGUGAAGGUGUGCUGUGAGGUAUGCUGGAGGUAUCAGAAGUGCGAAUGCUGACAUAAGUAACGAUAAAGCGGGUGAAAAGCCCGCUCGCCGGAAGACCAAGGGUUCCUGUCCAACGUUAAUCGGGGCAGGGUGAGUCGACCCCUAAGGCGAGGCCGAAAGGCGUAGUCGAUGGGAAACAGGUUAAUAUUCCUGUACUUGGUGUUACUGCGAAGGGGGGACGGAGAAGGCUAUGUUGGCCGGGCGACGGUUGUCCCGGUUUAAGCGUGUAGGCUGGUUUUCCAGGCAAAUCCGGAAAAUCAAGGCCGAGGCGUGAUGACGAGGCACUACGGUGCUGAAGCAACAAAUGCCCUGCUUCCAGGAAAAGCCUCUAAGCAUCAGGUAACAUCAAAUCGUACCCCAAACCGACACAGGUGGUCAGGUAGAGAAUACCAAGGCGCUUGAGAGAACUCGGGUGAAGGAACUAGGCAAAAUGGUGCCGUAACUUCGGGAGAAGGCACGCUGAUACGUAGGUGAAGCGACUUGCUCGUGGAGCUGAAAUCAGUCGAAGAUACCAGCUGGCUGCAACUGUUUAUUAAAAACACAGCACUGUGCAAACACGAAAGUGGACGUAUACGGUGUGACGCCUGCCCGGUGCCGGAAGGUUAAUUGAUGGGGUUAGCGCAAGCGAAGCUCUUGAUCGAAGCCCCGGUAAACGGCGGCCGUAACUAUAACGGUCCUAAGGUAGCGAAAUUCCUUGUCGGGUAAGUUCCGACCUGCACGAAUGGCGUAAUGAUGGCCAGGCUGUCUCCACCCGAGACUCAGUGAAAUUGAACUCGCUGUGAAGAUGCAGUGUACCCGCGGCAAGACGGAAAGACCCCGUGAACCUUUACUAUAGCUUGACACUGAACAUUGAGCCUUGAUGUGUAGGAUAGGUGGGAGGCUUUGAAGUGUGGACGCCAGUCUGCAUGGAGCCGACCUUGAAAUACCACCCUUUAAUGUUUGAUGUUCUAACGUGGACCCGUGAUCCGGGUUGCGGACAGUGUCUGGUGGGUAGUUUGACUGGGGCGGUCUCCUCCUAAAGAGUAACGGAGGAGCACGAAGGUUGGCUAAUCCUGGUCGGACAUCAGGAGGUUAGUGCAAUGGCAUAAGCCAGCUUGACUGCGAGCGUGACGGCGCGAGCAGGUGCGAAAGCAGGUCAUAGUGAUCCGGUGGUUCUGAAUGGAAGGGCCAUCGCUCAACGGAUAAAAGGUACUCCGGGGAUAACAGGCUGAUACCGCCCAAGAGUUCAUAUCGACGGCGGUGUUUGGCACCUCGAUGUCGGCUCAUCACAUCCUGGGGCUGAAGUAGGUCCCAAGGGUAUGGCUGUUCGCCAUUUAAAGUGGUACGCGAGCUGGGUUUAGAACGUCGUGAGACAGUUCGGUCCCUAUCUGCCGUGGGCGCUGGAGAACUGAGGGGGGCUGCUCCUAGUACGAGAGGACCGGAGUGGACGCAUCACUGGUGUUCGGGUUGUCAUGCCAAUGGCACUGCCCGGUAGCUAAAUGCGGAAGAGAUAAGUGCUGAAAGCAUCUAAGCACGAAACUUGCCCCGAGAUGAGUUCUCCCUGACCCUUUAAGGGUCCUGAAGGAACGUUGAAGACGACGAC
rnacentral:rRNA from 1 species